rnacentral:rRNA from 1 species
GACGAACGCUGGCGGCGUGCCUAAUACAUGCAAGUCGAACGGUCUUUUCUAUGGAAGCUUGCUUCCACUGAGAAGAUAGUGGCGAACGGGUGAGUAACACGUGGGUAACCUGCCCAUAAGAGGGGGAUAACAUCCGGAAACGGGUGCUAAUACCGCAUAGUUUUUCUGAUCGCAUGAUCGGGAAAGGAAAGACGGCCUUUGUGCUGUCGCUUAUGGAUGGACCCGCGGCGUAUUAGUUAGUUGGUGAGAUAACGGCUCACCAAGACGAUGAUACGUAGCCGACCUGAGAGGGUGAUCGGCCACACUGGGACUGAGACACGGCCCAAACUCCUACGGGAGGCAGCAGUAGGGAAUCUUCCGCAAUGGACGAAAGUCUGACGGAGCAACGCCGCGUGAGUGAAGAAGGUUUUCGGAUCGUAAAACUCUGUUGUCAGAGAAGAACAAGUCGGAGAGUAACUGCUCCGGCCUUGACGGUAUCUGACCAGAAAGCCACGGCUAACUACGUGCCAGCCGCCGCCGUAAGAC